GUCGUCCUAGGUGGGUCUCGAACCCAGGUCCCUGGAGCUGUGAGGCAGCAGCGCUAACCACUGUGACGCUCCACGGGCCACAGCUAGAAGACUGUAUACAAUUCUGGUCACCCCACUAUAGGCAGGAUGUUAUUGUACUAGAAAGGCCGCACAGGAGAUUCACCAGGAUGUUUCCUUAAAGCAGAGAAGGCUGAGAGGGAACCUGACUGUGUUGCAAAAUUAUGAAAGGCAUAGAUCAACAGGAAGAAAUCUCUCCCUUCUUUUAGAUGGGUCAAUACAAUGGACAUAAUGUAAAGUAAGAGACAGAAUGUUUAGAGAGAAAUUGAAACAUUUUUUCACCUAGAGGGUUGUGCAUGUCUGGAACUCACAGCCUGAAAGGAUGGUAGGAGUAGAAGUAGCUAUAUCGUCACAUGUACUCACGAGUACAGUGAAAAGUUUAAAUGUCACCACUGGAUAUCUAGGUAAAAUUAGAUAUCUAACCCAUGCAGGGCCUUGAUUCCAUGUCAUGCAGGGCUUCACCUCAAGACUCUCGAGGCUGGGAGACUGCUCUGGAAUCAUGUCGACGCUGGGAGUCCACGCUGGGCUGCAAAAAGACCACCAUGCCAAGCUGAGAGAUCAACAUACUGGGUUCACACUGAGUCUGAAUCUACAGUGGGGCCAGGAGUUCAGGACAUCGUCAAGAAGAAACAAGGAAAGAAAACAGAAAAAAGAAAUGGAAGAGAAAAAGAAAGAAAAGAAGUGGAUGGAGCGAAUGAGCUCUGGCUGAGGCUUUCUACUCCACUGCCAUCUUGGAUCUGAAUAUUUCUCUUGGCUUUCUUCCCAUAGAAUGAACUAUAAGAAGAGUGGAAGAAAGCAUACCACCCAUCAGUCCAGGACACAAAGUUCUGGCUCCAGUAGGAAUCAUCACAACAUUUAAGAAGUAUCUGGAUGAACAUUAAAUGUUACAGCAUACAAGGCCUAGUAUUUAUGAAUUCCUGUGGCAUAAUGAUAGUAUUAUUUUUUGCAUCGAUGUCUGAAGUCUGUGUGUGAUAUGGGAGUCAAUGUAUCAGCACACCAACUGGCAUGCACAGAGCCUGGCUCAUAUAAAUAAUUAAACAUGUUGUUGGUUACAGUGGCUCUACCUUCUGAUUCAAGAUCUUACCAAAUAAUCAACAGUGUUAGCUCCAGGCAUCGGCUCCCUCUGAUGGUUACAUGUAAAUAUACAAAAUCCUACAAGCAGAUCUCACCAUGACCUUCAGAAUGAUACACAGUUGCUUUUGAGAGCCUUCAGCCUUCCCAGGUCAACAUCUUGGAGUGCUGUAAGUUUCUGGAAAUCUUCUUUAGCUGCCUGAAUUGGCUGUCUUUCCUUUGCUGCCAACAGUUCUUUGUAUUUUCAGAAUUGGCCUUGAAAAUUUCGAUAUCUGACUGUAAUCCAUUCAUUUGACUUUGUACCUUAUUUCUUGCAACAGUAGAAUCUUUUGGAAUUGUCUGGGGAAGUUGAAUGAUUGGGGAAGUUGGUGGGCGGCACAGUGGUUAGCACUACUGCCUAACAAAGCUAGAGACCCGGGUUCAAUUGCCGC